ensembl:lncRNA
GAAGACAGAGAGAGAAAGGGAGAAGAGAGGUGAGGAUAAGAUGAGAGAUGGGGAGAGAAGAAGGGAGUAGACACAGGGAGUUAGAGCAGUGAGAGGGAGUGGGAGGAAGAAAGCGAGGACAGGAGGCAGCACAGCGCAGUGCGGGGGGAGAGAGAUAGACACAGGAAGCCUCCACUGCUACAGAGUCAGUGAGACGCACGCAGGCAGCGAGAGAAGAUAGAGACGGAGGCUCUCUGCAUCUCUGGGGCUGGACCAGUGAGGAGGAGAGGGGCUCAAGGGCACUACAGCAGAGAGUGGAGUGGGAGGAGACGAAGGAGGGUGGGGUGAUCAAAUCAGAAACACACUCCAGCAGGGAAAGGGGAGCAAGUGAGUGGGUGGGUUCUGAUAUUCAAACUUUUUUGCGACCGACAAAUUUGUGGAAAUGAGAGCCAGCAUCAGAGCGGGCAGAGUCGGUGUUCAAAGGAAAGAACGGAGGAGACUCAUGGAAGAAGAGGAUGAAACGGGCGGUGUCUCAGGAGUCCUCUCCUGCUACUUCUUCAUUCUGUGAGGCUGCUGGACAUCAUCCAUCACCAUGUUCUCUGACAGCGGCGCUCCAGCACCUGGAGAGCAGAAAGGCUUCAAGCCCCACACUCCCCACUUCCUCCCCUGGCUGCGUAACAGUCUAAAGUCCCACCAAACUAGUGACUUGGGGCUCAAUGGACCUUUCAAACCUACAUCUGAGGGCCGCAACAGCCUGGCACCGCUAGAGAAAGCCAAAAGCAUCGGUUUCUUCUCCAUCCAAGGAAAAGAUAGAGCAAAGAAGGGUGAACUCCGGUGCAAUGGAGUGGGAAUGGCGAGGAUGCUGCCAGUGGUGCUGAGGGGCCACCAGAUACUGCCAGGGACUUUAGUAAAGCAGAAGGAAGGCAGUCCUUCCAGGUGGAACCAGACUAAUGAGCUGGACUCAGACCUGACCACACAGACCAGCCAAGAGGAUGUACCUAAGGACCAGGGUGACAGCUCCUCCAACGCUGAAGACAAUCACUCCAUAGGGAACCACAGCAGCCAUCGCAGCCUGCGUCACUCACAGACUGACGGGAACAGCACGGCAGUCAGGAAUUACAGGCCCCCCGUGGGGCCCCCUCCUACUCCUGUUUCUGGACUGCUCCCCGAGGAGUGCGACUAUAAGGAGCCAGUGGAGAUGUGCAUUGAGGACAAGAGAGAGAAGGUGUGGGAUAAUGCUACAAGCUACCAUCAGAGAGAGCUUCAUUCAUCCAGCUGGCUGGGUUCAGAUGCUCAGGAACGAACAGAGAAGCUGCACGGAUUCAGCUCCAGCUUCACCUACAUCAACAAACACAGCAGGAACUCCCAGAGUCAGAGAGACCUCACAUCACUACGAGAGCCACUUGUGCAGGCUCUCAACGGGCCCCUCAGCAAAGUCAUCUUCUCUACAGAGGUUCCUCACAGAGGUCUGGGCAGCACAGCAACUCUACACAGACCCAAAAAACCCCGACCGAGUUCUGAAAGGAUAGAGAUCCGGGAUCAGAGUGUGAAAUGGGUCCCUCACAGAGUUAUCAGUGACGGGGAGACACAGAGGAAGCCUGCAGGCUGCAGCAGGAAGAUGGUCCGAAAUCAGAUCAAAAAUGUGAUGGACAACCUGGAGCAGGUUCUCAAAGCACUGAGGGAUGUUCAUCAGGAAAUGAGAGAGGUAGUGCAACAGAUUGACUAUCUAACUUCAACUAUUGAUCUGAAUGAGGAAGAGGAGUGUGGCCCUGGGGGGGUUUGUACUAAGCCACCCAAUGAUAGCAGCUACAGUUCAGGCUGCAGUCAGAUGACAGUGGGGAGCACCAAUCAUGAGCUGUCAGAAAGCAGACACCAACCAGCGCCCAUGGACCUGUGUGGCACCCUCAGGAGGGACCGUCACCCCAGGAGUCAGUCUCCAGUACAGCUUUUCCCAGUCACCUCUGGGAUUUUAUCGGAGAGAAGUCGGACUCUUCGCUUCACUUGUAGCCUCAGGUCGCCUCCAGCACAAAGUGGUCCGUUAAUGUACACAAACAUCCUUUCUUCAUCUGAACAACCUCCAAACAUAAACUGUCAGGAAAUCUCUCACUCUCCCCAAAAAAACGUCCCAGUUCGGCCUCCCACUCCGGGUCUUUCCCCUUUAACAGUGAACCUACAACAUCCUGGCAGCCCGGGGUCUCAGCCUCAGUCUCCUGGUGCUUCAUCUUCUGCCAGGAUCAGCCCUGAAUCCCCUCCCUCUCCUCUGUCACCAAAGCUUCAUCCAACCUCUCCUCGCAGGCCCUCAAUGCUCAUAGAAACCAGAGUUGGGUUUUAUCAGAGUCCUCGGAGUGACUUUCCUUCUGACAGUCCAUUUUUUCCAUCUUUGACCCAGCCUUCAUCUGCCAGCUGCCCACCUAUCGACUCGGAAACCCAAACUGUGUCUGUUGCUGAUAGAGAAGGGCGAUCGUCCUCAGCGGGGCCUUCACAUGUGACCUCUUCAGUCACAGCUAAAGCACCUGCAGGACAAGGUCGCAGAGGCCGCAAGCCCCCACCAUACCCCCAUCACCGGCUCUCUGAGCAGUCAAAGAAAACGAAGGAGCCUCGCAAAGCUCCUCCCUAUCCCGAGAAGAGACGGCUCCUCUCGACCACGGUGUGA